UCUCUCUUAUUCCAUGCCAAUCUCCUCUUGUUUUGUGCAACAAAAGCCCUCUCCCAGGUCUUUCCCAUGUCCAAAAGGCUUCCUCUCUUCUUUCAUACAUGGAAAGUGAUUAUGGAUGAAAUCAAAGUAGGAAUAAGUUUGGAUUUCAAAUUCUAUGAGAUAGAGUUUUAGAAAUCCAAAAUUCUUUUCUUUUUGCAUCGAAUUUAUC
rnacentral:lncRNA from 1 species